rnacentral:rRNA from 1 species
GAUGAACGCUAGCUACAGGCUUAACACAUGCAAGUCGAGGGGAAACGGCAUUUAGUGCUUGCACCGAAUGGACGUCGACCGGCGCACGGGUGAGUAACGCGUAUCCAACCUUCCCAUUACUGUGGGAUAACCUGCCGAAAGGCAGACUAAUACCGCAUAGUCUUCGUUGACGGCAUCAGAUAUGAAGUAAAGAUUUAUCGGUAAUGGAUGGGGAUGCGUCUGAUUAGCUUGUUGGCGGGGUAACGGCCCACCAAGGCGACGAUCAGUAGGGGUUCUGAGAGGAAGGUCCCCCACAUUGGAACUGAGACACGGUCCAAACUCCUACGGGAGGCAGCAGUGAGGAAUAUUGGUCAAUGGACGGAAGUCUGAACCAGCCAAGUAGCGUGCAGGAUGACGGCCCUAUGGGUUGUAAACUGCUUUUGUAUGGGGAUAAAGUUAGGGACGUGUCCCUAUUUGCAGGUACCAUACGAAUAAGGACCGGCUAAUUCCGUGCCAGCAGCCGCGGUAAUACGGAAGGUCCAGGCGUUAUCCGGAUUUAUUGGGUUUAAAGGGAGCGUAGGCUGGAGAUUAAGUGUGUUGUGAAAUGUAGACGCUCAACGUCUGAAUUGCAGCGCAUACUGGUUUCCUUGAGUACGCACAACGUUGGCGGAAUUCGUCGUGUAGCGGUGAAAAUGCUUAGAUAUGACGAAGAACUCCGAUUGCUAAGGCUGCUGACGGGAGCGCAACUGACGCUUAAGCUCGAAGGUGCGGGUAUCGAACAGG